AUGAACGCUGGCGGCGUGCCUAAUACAUGCAAGUCGCGCGAACGGACGAGAAGCUUGCUUCUCUGAUGUUAGCGGCGGACGGGUGAGUAACACGUGGAUAACCUACCUAUAAGACUGGGAUAACUUCGGGAAACCGGAGCUAAUACCGGAUAAUAUUUUGAACCGCAUGGUUCAAAAGUGAAAGACGGUCUUGCUGUCACUUAUAGAUGGAUCCGCGCUGCAUUAGCUAGUUGGUAAGGUAACGGCUACCAAGGCAACGAUGCAUAGCCGACCUGAGAGGGUGAUCGGCCACACUGGAACUGAGACACGGUCCAGACUCCUACGGGAGGCAGCAGUAGGGAAUCUUCCGCAAUGGGCGAAAGCCUGACGGAGCAACGCCGCGUGAGUGAUGAAGGUCUUCGGAUCGUAAAACUCUGUUAUUAGGGAAGAACAUAUGUGUAAGUAACUGUGCACAUCUUGACGGUACCUAAUCAGAAAGCCACGGCUAACUACGUG
rnacentral:rRNA from 1 species